GUCUAUGGCCAUACCACCCAGAACAGGCCCAAUCUCAUCUGAUCUUGGAAGCUAAGCAAGGUUGGGCCUGAUUAGUACUCGGAUGGGAGAAUCCACAAACCUCUGAACCUCAGAGUCCAGUCUUUCUGCCUUGGACA
ensembl:rRNA 5S_rRNA 5S ribosomal RNA